UGAGACAGAGAUCCACUUCAUCCUUCCAACAGGCAAGCAAGUCCAGUGGAAUUGUACCCUUCCAGUGUCCUACUGCAAAGCAGACCUUGAUGAAUCUUCGGAUGCUGCAGACUAUCUUCCAGACUCAUGUGGCAAUUCCUCGGAUGCUUCUAUUAUAAGUACUACAAGUUCUUGUAGUAAGGAAUAUAAAACCACAGAAAAGAAUCUCCACCACAAAUUGUCAGAGAACACACCAUUAGGGAAUGUUACAGCACACAGUGGGGAUAGUACCACCAGUUCAGAGAAGCCAAGAACAUUAAGUUAUUCCAAGCCAUCCUUGUACUUCAGUAAUAAGCUGUAGUGCCAAUUCAUCAGAGAACACAUCACACCAGAAAAGCUCCAUAAAUGUCACAUGUUUGUCAAUAACAGCAAAAGGAAGCAAGUACAACAAGAAGCAAUUUUGUCUUUAUUGUAAAAAGGCCAUUUAUAAAUUGGCAAGACACCUCGAAUCCAUCCACAGUGAAAAGCAUGAUGUUGCAAUGGCUUUCAGUUUUAAUAAAGGAUCCCACAAAAGAAGAGAGUUGUUACGCUCUCUUAAGAAGAGAUGAAACUUUGAACAUAAUACUGAAGUGGCAAGCUGUGGCACUGGAGAGAUGGUUGCCUGUAAAAGACCUAGUAACGCAAAACCAUCUGAUGACUACCGUCACUGCAAAUUUUGCGAAGGACUGUAUGCAAGAAAUUCCCUAUGGAGACAUUUGAGAAACUGCCCGAAGAAGUCUGUUGAGGGAGAGCCUCAAGUUGGGCGAAAACGGAUUCAACUGCACUUACCAAGACCUGACUCAGUUAAGGAAACUGUUUGGAAGAUUGCUUGUGAAAUGAACCACGAUGACGUUUCCUCGGUUGUAAGGAGUGAAACUGAAUUCCUUUGUAUCGGCGAGUCACUGUUGAAUUCCAGGAAACCAUAUGAGAGAAGGAAUGACUACAUACGCCAAAAAAUGAGAGAGAUGGCAAGACUAUUGAUAACGGCAAGGGCUAUAACACCUUUGAAGAGCACCGAAGUCCUUGUUAUGCCCUGUAACUUUCCCCAUGUGAUACAGGCAGUAAGAUCUGUUGCUGGUUAUGAUGUCGAAAGCAACUCAUAUAAAAUCCCAUCAUUGGCUUUGAAAUUGGGACACAGUUUAGCCAAAGUUGCAGACAUUAUGCAAUGCAAUGCCAUCAUUGCAAAUCGCCCUGCUGUUGCAGAGUCUGCAAAGCAAUUUGCCACUUUACAUCAGAAAAAGUGGACAGAGUCCAUUUCAGCUGCCGCAUUGGGUACACUUCAACAGGCCAAAUGGAAUAAACCACAGGUUUUACCCUUUACAGAGGAUGUGUCGGUGCUGCACACGUUUCUUGCUACUGAGCGUGCUAAGUGUAUGAAGGACCUUGAGGAAGAACCCAACAGCAAAAGCUUUGGAAAUCUUGCUAAAGUGACUUUGACACAGGUAGUACUAUUUAACAGAAGGAGGGAAGGGGAAGUUUCAAAAAUGGAGCUUCAGUCUUUCACAUCCAGGGAUCUUACGGAGCUGAAUCCAGACAUUGUGAGGGGCCUUACUGACUUCGAGAGGAAGCUUGCAGAGCACUUUGAGAGAGUUGAGAUUCGAGAUAAAAGGUCAAGAAAGGUUCCAGUGCUUCUAACCCCUGACAUGAUCACUGCUAUGGACCUCCUCAUGAUAAGCAGAAAAGAGUGUCAAGUCCACAAAGAAAAUGUGUACAUGUUUGCACGGCCAGGUGUCCUUUCCCAUUACAGAGGCUCCGACUGCUUUCGCAAGUAUGCAAACAAUGUGGUGCAAAGAACCCAGAGGCACUCACCUCAACAAGAUUGCGGAAACAAGUCGCCACUUUGUCCACACUACUAAACCUCAAAGAAAAUGAAAUGGAUCAACUUGCCACCUUUCUAGGACAUGACAUCCGUGUCCAUAGAGAAUUCUAUCGGCUUCCAGAGAGUACCCUGCAGCUCGCAAAAGUCAGCAAACUGUUGAUAGCAAUCGAAAAAGGAAGACUGCCUUACCUGCAGGGGAAAGGGCUGGAUGACAUUGAGGUCAAUCCUGAAGAUGAAGUAGAAAUGAGUGAUGAUGAUUCCAGCGAAGAAACCAUUGCUGACCUACAUCAAUGCAAAGAGACUUCUAGGGACCAGACACUUCUGAGGCAAACACCAGAGUCAACCACCCUGGACAACAUGGAGGGCACUUCUGAGUCAACCACCCUGGACAACAUGGAGGGCACUUCUGAGUCAACCACCCUGGACAACAUGGAGGGCACUCCUGAGUCAACCACCUUGGAUAACGUAUUUAAAUACAGUUGUAUUUUGUUUCCAUUUAUGAAAGCUGUGAAGGUGAGAAGCAAGUGGACAGGUGAUGAAGUGAAAGCUGUUGAGCGGCAUUUGCUUAAUUUCAUAACAAGCUGCAGAAUACCAGGUAAAAAGGACUGUGACUCCUGCCUCCAAGCAGAGCCAGUAGCUCUGAAAGACAGAGACUGGGUUGCUAUCAAAUACUACAUCCACAACAGAAAUGUAGCAUUAAAAAGGAAGAUGAAUAGAUAGAACUAGAGCAUGCCAACUGUAGCUCAGGUACCAUUCAAUUCCAAUUUCAAUCAGCUUCUCCUCAGAUAGUGUUAAUAUCUGUGGGUUUCAUGUUCAUAUUAUUUUAUUUUCCUUAAAUGAUUUAUAGUGUUGGUUCUUGUACAAACAUGCCACAUAGGCUCGACUGUAGAUCCCACAUGUUUGUAUGUUUAUGUAUAAUUGAGGGCUAUUAAUGAGCAUAUGUUUGCCACUUAUGGUCAAUUUUUUUUGGGAUAACAGUUGAUGAUAUAGGUUAAUACUCUGCUCUCAUUGACAGGGAAAAGAGAUAAACAGUACUUAAAGGGAUUGUUAUUGUUCCUAAGUUUUCAGAAGCACUUUGUUCUUAACCACAAGUUGUUGAAUGUGGCAAGGUGUUUAAAUUACUGUUAAACUAUUACCAUUUCAAUGGGUGCUUGUAACAGGCCUCGUGUAUGGUAACUUGCACUAUGUAACUAUGAUUUAAAUCCCUACGUUAUUUAGACAGGUUAGCUGAAUGUACACUGUCAUGUUUCAUAGAAGCUGGAUGCUUUAAUAGAGAGUUUCUCAUUCAUUUCAAACAUGCCAUUUCUACUGCCUUGUGCAUAGCAGGGAAGGAGGCAAAGUGUAGGUGGUCUAUUCUGGAUGUUCAAUUGAUUUGUUAAUUUGCAUAUUUUCGCUGGCACUCAAUAAAAGUAAGGCAUAAAGUGUU